AUUGAACGCUGGCGGCAGGCCUAACACAUGCAAGUCGAACGAGUGGCGGACGGGUGAGUAAUGUCUGGGAAACUGCCCGAGGGAGGGGGAUAACUACUGGAAACGGUAGCUAAUACCGCAUACCAUCGGAUGUGCCCAGAUGAGAUUAGCGAGUAGGUGGGGGAACGGCUAACCUAGGCGACGAUCACUAGCUGGUCUGAGCGGAUGACCAGCCACACUGGAAGUGAGACACGGUCCAGAUUCCUACGGGAGGCAGAAGUGGGGAAUAUUGCACAAGGGGCGCAAGCCUGAUGCAGCCAUGCCGCGUGUAUGAAGAAGGCCUUCGGGUUGUAAAGUACUUUCAGCGAGGAGGCGUUACUCGCAGAAGAAGCACCGGCUAACUCCGUGCCAGCAGCCGCGGUAAUAC
rnacentral:rRNA from 1 species